rnacentral:rRNA from 1 species
GAAUUCGCCCUUAGAGUUUGAUCCUGGCUCAGAUUGAACGCUGGCGGCAGGCCUAACACAUGCAAGUCGAACGGUAACAGGAAGCAGCUUGCUGCUUCGCUGACGAGUGGCGGACGGGUGAGUAAUGUCUGGGAAACUGCCUGAUGGAGGGGGAUAACUACUGGAAACGGUAGCUAAUACCGCAUAACGUCGCAAGACCAAAGAGGGGGACCUUCGGGCCUCUUGCCAUCGGAUGUGCUCAGAUGGGAUUAGCUAGUAGGUGGGGUAACGGCUCACCUAGGCGACGAUCCCUAGCUGGUCUGAGAGGAUGACCAGCCACACUGGAACUGAGACACGGUCCAGACUCCUACGGGAGGCAGCAGUGGGGAAUAUUGCACAAUGGAGGAAACUCUGAUGCAGCAACGCCGCGUGAGCGAUGAAGGUCUUCGGAUCGUAAAGCUCUGUCUUUAGGGAUGAUAAUGACAGUACCUAAGGAGGAAGCCACGGCUAACUACGUGCCAGCAGCCGCGGUAAUACGUAGGUGGCGAGCGUUAUCCGGAUUUAUUGGGCGUAAAGGGAGCGUAGGCGGAUACUUAAGUGGGAUGUGAAAUACUUGGGCUCAACCCGAGUACUGCAUUCCAAACUGAGUAUCUAGAGUGCAGGAGAGGAGAGUGGAAUUCCUAGUGUAGCGGUGAAAUGCGUAGAGAUUAGGAAGAACACCAGUGGCGAAGGCGACUCUCUGGACUGUAACUGACGCUGAGGCUCGAAAGCGUGGGGAGCGAACAGGAUUAGAUACCCUGGUAGUCCACGCCGUAAACGAUGAAUACUAGGUGUAGGGGUUUCCAUACCUCUGUGCCGCCGCUAACGCAUUAAGUAUUCCGCCUGGGGAGUACGGUCGCAAGAUUAAAACUCAAAGGAAUUGACGGGGACCCGCACAAGCAGCGGAGCAUGUGGUUUAAUUCGAAGCAACGCGAAGAACCUUACCUACACUUGACAUCCCUUGCAUUACCCUUAAUCGGGGAAAUCUCUUCGGAGACAAGGUGACAGGUGGUGCAUGGUUGUCGUCAGCUCGUGUCGUGAGAUGUUGGGUUAAGUCCCGCAACGAGCGCAACCCCUAUUGUUAGUUGCUACCAUUAAGUUGAGCACUCUAGCGAGACUGCCUGGGUUAACCAGGAGGAAGGUGGGGACGACGUCAAAUCAUCAUGCCCCUUAUGUGUAGGGCUACACACGUGCUACAAUGGCAGGUACAGAGAGACGCAAGACCGUGAGGUGGAGCAAAUCCCACAAAACCUGUCCCAGUUCGGAUUGAAGGCUGAAACUCGCCUUCAUGAAGCCGGAGUUGCUAGUAAUCGCGAAUCAGAAUGUCGCGGUGAAUACGUUCCCGGGUCUUGCACACACCGCCCGUCA